rnacentral:rRNA from 1 species
AUUGAACGCUGGCGGCAUGCCUUACACAUGCAAGUCGAACGGUAACAGGUCUUCGGAUGCUGACGAGUGGCGAACGGGUGAGUAAUACAUCGGAACGUGCCUAGUAGUGGGGGAUAACUACUCGAAAGAGUGGCUAAUACCGCAUGAGAUCUACGGAUGAAAGCAGGGGAUCGCAAGACCUUGUGCUACUAGAGCGGCCGAUGGCAGAUUAGGUAGUUGGUGGGAUAAAAGCUUACCAAGCCGACGAUCUGUAGCCGGUCUGAGAGGACGAUCAGCCACACUGGGACUGAGAAACGGCCCAGACUCCUACGGGAGGCAGCAGUGGGGAAUUUUGGACAAUGGGCGCAGGCCUGAUCCAGCAAUGCCGCGUGCAGGAUGAAGGCCUUCGGGUUGUAAACUGCUUUUGUACGGAACGAAAAGCCCCGGGUUAAUACCCUGGGGUCAUGACGGUACCGUAAGAAUAAGCACCGGCUAACUACGUGCCAGCAGCCGCGGUAA